UACGUAGGGGGCUAGCGUUGUCCGGAUUUACUGGGCGUAAAGGGCGCGUAGGCGGCCCGCUAAGUCGAACGUGAAAUCCCCGGGCUCAACCCGGGAACUGCGUCCGAUACUGGCAGGCUUGAAUCCGGGAGAGGGAUGUGGAAUUCCAGGUGUAGCGGUGAAAUGCGUAGAUAUCUGGAGGAAUACCGGUGGCGAAGGCGGCAUCCUGGACCGACAUUGACGCUGAGGAGCGAAAGCUAGGGGAGCAAACGGG
rnacentral:rRNA from 1 species